rnacentral:rRNA from 1 species
CCUACGGGAGGCAGCAGUGGGGAAUAUUGCACAAUGGGGGAAACCCUGAUGCAGCGACGCCGCGUGAGUGAAGAAGUAUUUCGGUACGUAAAGCUCUAUCAGCAGGGAAGAAAAAAAGUCCUUUGGACUUUGGACGGUACCUGACCAAGAAGCCCCGGCUAACUACGUGCCAGCAGCCGCGGUAAUACGUAGGGGGCAAGCGUUAUCCGGAUUUACUGGGUGUAAAGGGAGCGUAGACGGUCCUGCAAGCCAGAUGUGAAAGCCCGGGGCUCAACCCCGGGACUGCAUUUGGAACUGUAAGGCUAGAGUGUCGGAGAGGCAGGCGGAAUUCCUAGUGUAGCGGUGAAAUGCGUAGAUAUUAGGAGGAACACCAGUGGCGAAGGCGGCCUACUGGACGGUGACUGACGCUGAGGCUCGAAAGCGUGGGGAGCAAACAGGAUUAGAUACCCUGGUAGUC